rnacentral:rRNA from 1 species
AGAACGACGGGGCGGCUACCACAUGCGAGAGAGAGAGGAAAGUCCCUUCGGGGGCGAGUAAAGCGGCGGACGGGUGAGUAAUACAUGGAUAAUCUUCCCUCGAGCCUGGGAUAACCCUGCGAAAGUGGGGCUAAUACCGGAUAAGACCACAUGACACAUGUCACGGGGUAGAAGGUGGCUUGUAUUUAUAUGAGCUAUCACUUGAGGAUGAGUCCAUGGCCUAUCAGCUAGUUGGUGAGGUAAGAGCUUACCAAGGCUAUGACGGGUAGCUGGUCUGAGAGGACGACUAGCCACACUGGGACUGAGACACGGCCCAGACUCCUACGGGAGGCAGCAGUGGGGAAUAUUGGGCAAUGGGCGAAAGCCUGACCCAGCGACGCCGCGUGGGUGAUGAAGGCCUUCGGGUUGUAAAACCCUUUCGUGCGGAAAGAAUAGUCCUGUAGCGAAUAACUACGGGAUUUGACGGUACCGCAGGAAGAAGCACCGGCUAACUCCGUG